GAUGAAGAACGUAGCGAAACGCGAUACUUGGUGUGAAUUGCAGAAUCCCGUGAACCAUCGAGUCUUUGAACGCAAGUUGCGCCCGAAGCCAUCAGGUUGAGGGCACGUCUGCCUGGGCGUCACAUAUCGUUGCCCAAUGCCUAUUGCAGUGCAAUAGGAAUUUCUAGGGCGAAUGAUGGCUUCCCGUGAGCGUUGUUGCCUCGCGGUUGGUUGAAAAUCGAGUCCUUGGUAGGGUGUGCCAUGGUAGAUGGUGGUCGAGUUAGAACGAUACCGAUCAUGUGCAUGCUCCCCAAAAUAUGGCCUCUAUGACCCACACGCGUCUUUUGACGCUCAUGACGAGACCUCAGGUCAGGCGGGGCUACCCGCUGAAUUUAAGCAUAUCAAUAAGCGGAGGA
rnacentral:misc_RNA from 1 species